AGGUGACCCUUGAACAGCACAAGGGUUGGGAUGCUAACCUUCUUUUUCCACACAGUUGAAAAUUUGCUUACCACUUCUGACUCUCCCAGAACUUAACUCCUGAUAGCCUACUUUUGACCAGUACUGCUACCAAUAACAUUAACAAUCAGUUGCCACAUAUUUUGUAUUUAUAUUUACCGUAUGAUGCAUUCUUACAAUGAAAUAAGCUAGAGGAAAGUAAAAUGUUAUUGAGAACAUCAUAGGUGGAAAUACUUUACAGCAUUAUACCAUUUUUAUUGAUACCAUUCAGUUUACAUCACCUUUUUACAAAAUGGAUCAUCUGUCAGUAUCCACAUCGGUGUUGUCUUAUAUGAUACAAAACACCAUAGAUGUUAUGUAUAUUGCUCACACUCAACAUCAAAAGUGAAAAGAUAAUGUGAAAAAGAAAUUCAUUUUUAUUUACAGGCGUAACAAUUCAUGCAUUAAUAAAGAAGCAGCAGCAAUCUGAUGGCUUUAUGGUAGCCUAGUGUAAUAAUCAAUAUGAUUGCUUCACAGUGGCCUAGCCAAUACCCUAAUGAAUGGAUUGUUAUAAAAAUUUUAUGGCAUACAGUAUUACAUUCAUAUUCAUAAUAAAAUGUAUUAGAAACAUUGUUAAUUUUUUAAAAGCCACUUACUUGUGAUGAUAGGCUGAUAGGCAGUUUCUGCAGUUACUGGAGAGAGGGGCAUACUGUAUAGUAAUGUAAUUCUUUGAAAGCAGAGUUCCAAAGAACAUCACUCAUCUUAUGCCUCUGUAAGGGUAGACCAUAUAUUGUAAUAAUAAUUGCAAUAUAUAAUAAUUUUGUAUUGAACAUCACUCAUCUUAUGCCUUUGUAAGGGUAGACCAUAUAUUGUAAGCAUUCGUGACAUACUUUUUCCUUAAUUUUUUUCAGUAUUUUUAGGCUGCGUGGGGUUUGCAAGUUUUUUAAUUGUUGUGUAAUCUACAAAAAAUGUUCUAAUAUAUUUACUGGAAGAAAAAAAUCCGUGUAUUAAUAGGCCCACACAGUUCAAACCCUUGUUCAAGGGUCAACUGUACAUCCAAAAUAUUUUUAACAUGUGUAAAGAGAAUGAGAUUUUACAUUCUUUUUUUUCAUACCAUCCUUUGUGUAUUUUGCCCUUAGCACGUCUCAGUUUGGAUGUUAAAAUUUUUAUCAAAUAUACUUGAUCUGGUUUUAAAUUUUAUAAAAUUUAUACUUGAAACUGCAGAUUCAUAUAUUCAGGUUGUUCCAUAUGUGCCUAAAAGUAUUACAGUAACUGAGUUGAUUAGCAAAUAAACUAAUUAACUUUCUCAGUUGCACUAGUCACAUUUCAAAUGCUCAGUAGUAAAAAGAAAUGAUCUAUGUAUGUAUAAAAUAAAACGUGGCUGAUUUAUUCAAAUUUCUCAGUAUCAGUAAGAAUUCUAGAGACAUGAUGUGAGCUUUUCUUGUUUUGAGCAAUUAAAAUAUUCUAAAUAAUACAGGGAAUAAUGUAAUAUCCAUGAAACUACUAUUACUAUAUUUUGCCAAAAUAUUUUCAGAUAUUUUUCUUCAAUCUAGGCUUACUUUUUAAGAGUAUUUGCUUGCCCAGGUAGUAUAUGGAUUGCUUAUUCACUUGGUUAAUUUGUAGUCAAGGGUAAAAGGAAGAAAGUACCUUGGAGUAUUAUUGUUCCUUGAAGUAUUAUUGUUGGUAUUAGAACUUUAAUAGUCUCAAUUCACUUUAAAAGUUUUUAGGUAUUGGAUGUCUAUUAGAAAAUUACUUAUUUUGAGUAUUUAGGAAUGUGCUACAUAUAUUAACAAGAGGCUAUUUUCCUUAGAUUUCCCUAGGGUAUGCAGUGAGUUCUCAGAAUUUAGUUUUAUUUAGUGGAAAUCAUCUGGGAAAAGAAAAAUGUUUAAAAUCUAGUGCAAUUGCAACUACAAUACUAAUUUCAAAUGUAACUGAGUUACCAGGGAUGCUUCUUGAUAUAUUUUAAAACAUCAGGUAUUUAACCCCAAAGGAAUAGGGUUUUAAAUAGGGGAGUGGGGCAGAAAUGAAGUCAGUUGGACAGAUUCUUUGUGUAUUGAAGGUGUUGCUUAAAUAUAUACAUUGAGUUAACUUGUUCUUCACUAUGAAUUUCAGCAUAUUUCUUGGAUCUUUUAAAUGCAGCAGGUUAAGAACCAGACUAGCAUCCAUGAGGAUCCGGGUUCGAUCCCUGGCCUCACUCAGUUGGUUAAGGAUCUGGCAUUGCCACAAGCUGCCAAGAAGGUUGCAGAUGCGGCUGAGAUCUGGUGUUGCUGUGGUUGUGACAUAGGUUGGCAGCUGCAGCUCUGAUUUGACCCU
rnacentral:lncRNA from 1 species